rnacentral:rRNA from 1 species
AUUGAACGCUGGCGGAAUGCUUUACACAUGCAAGUCGAACGGCAGCACGGGGGCAACCCUGGUGGCGAGUGGCGAACGGGUGAGUAAUACAUCGGAACGUGCCCAGUCGUGGGGGAUAACGUAGCGAAAGCUACGCUAAUACCGCAUACGAUCUAUGGAUGAAAGCGGGGGAUCGCAAGACCUCGCGCGAUUGGAGCGGCCGAUGGCAGAUUAGGUAGUUGGUGGGGUAAAGGCUCACCAAGCCGACGAUCUGUAGCUGGUCUGAGAGGACGACCAGCCACACUGGAACUGAGACACGGUCCAGACUCCUACGGGAGGCAGCAGUGGGGAAUUUUGGACAAUGGGCGAAAGCCUGAUCCAGCCAUUCCGCGUGCAGGAUGAAGGCCUUCGGGUUGUAAACUGCUUUUGUACGGAACGAAAAGGCUCUGGUUAAUACCUGGGGCUCAUGACGGUACCGUAAGAAUAAGCACCGGCUAACUACGUGCCAGCAGCCGCCGUAAGAC